rnacentral:rRNA from 1 species
GAUGAACGCUAGCGGCAGGCUUAAUACAUGCAAGUCGAGGGGCAGCAGUUUUGUAGCAAUACAGAAGCUGGCGACCGGCAAACGGGUGCGGAACACGUACGCAACCUUCCUCUAACUGGAAGAUAGCCCACCGAAAGGUGGAUUAAUAUUCCAUAGUACAUUGAAAAGGCAUCUUUUUGAUAUUAAAGCUCCGGCGGUUAGAGAUGGGCGUGCGUCUGAUUAGGUAGUUGGCGGGGUAACGGCCCACCAAGCCUACGAUCAGUAGCUGAUGUGAGAGCGUGAUCAGCCACACGGGCACUGAGACACGGGCCCGACUCCUACGGGAGGCAGCAGUAAGGAAUAUUGGUCAAUGGACGCAAGUCUGAACCAGCCAUGCCGCGUGGAGGAUGAAGGCCCUCUGGGUUGUAAACUUCUUUUCUUUGAGACGAAACCCCUGUUUCUACGGGGACUGACGGUACCAGAGGAAUAAGCACCGGCUAACUCCGUGCCAGCCGCCGCCGUAAGAC